GAUGAACGCUGGCGGCGUGCCUAAUACAUGCAAGUCGAGCGAACGGACGAGAAGCUUGCUUCUCUGAUGUUAGCGGCGGACGGGUGAGUAACACGUGGAUAACCUACCUAUAAGACUGGGAUAACUUCGGGAAACCGUAGCUAAUACCGGAUAAUAUCUUGAACCGCAUGGUUCAAAAGUGAAAGACGGUCUUGCUGUCACUUAUAGAUGGAUCCGCGCUGCAUUAGCUAGUUGGUAAGGUAACGGCUUACCAAGGCAACGAUGCAUAGCCGAACUGAGAGGGUGAUCGGCCGCACUGGAACUGAGACACGGUCCAGACUCCUACGGGAGGCAGCAGUAGGGAAUCUUACGCAAUGGGCGAAAGCCUGACGGAGCAACGCCGCGUGAGUGAUGAAGGUCUUCGGAUCGUAAAACUCUGUUAUUAGGGAAGAACAGAUGUGUAAGUAACUGUGCACAGCUUGACGGUACCUAAUCAGAAAGCCACGGCUAACUACGUG
rnacentral:rRNA from 1 species